rnacentral:rRNA from 1 species
AUUGAACGCUGGCGGCAUGCUUUACACAUGCAAGUCGAACGGCAGCGCGGGCUUCGGCCUGGCGGCGAGUGGCGAACGGGUGAGUAAUACAUCGGAACGUGCCCAGUAGUGGGGGAUAGCUCGGCGAAGGCCGGAUUAAUACCGCAUACGACCUGAGGGUGAAAGCGGGGGAUCUUCGGACCUCGCGCUAUUGGAGCGGCCGAUGGCAGAUUAGCUAGUUGGUGGGGUAAAGGCCUACCAAGGCGACGAUCUGUAGCUGGUCUGAGAGGACGACCAGCCACACUGGAACUGAGACACGGCCCAGACUCCUACGGGAGGCAGCAGUGGGGAAUUUUGGACAAUGGGCGAAAGCCUGAUCCAGCAAUGCCGCGUGUGUGAUGAAGGCCUUCGGGUUGUAAAGCACUUUUGGCGGGAACGAAAAGGACUGUGCCAAUACCACGGUUCGAUGACGGUACCCGCAGAAUAAGCACCGGCUAACUACGUG